rnacentral:rRNA from 1 species
ACCCUACGGGGCGCAGCAGUGGGGAAUAUUGCACAAUGGGGGAAACCCUGAUGCAGCGACGCCGCGUGAAGGAAGAAGUAUUUCGGUAUGUAAACUUCUAUCAGCAGGGAAGAAAAUGACGGUACCUGACUAAGAAGCCCCGGCUAACUACGUGCCAGCAGCCGCGGUAAUACGUAGGGGGCAAGCGUUAUCCGGAUUUACUGGGUGUAAAGGGAGCGUAGGCGGCGAUGCAAGUCAGAAGUGAAAGCCCGGGGCUUAACUCCGGGACUGCUUUUGAAACUGGGUUGCUAGAUUGCAGGAGAGGG